CUCCCCCCUGACGUGCGGCGAGGGCGCCUCCCUCGCCACCCGUACCAGCCCCUCCACCACCCGCGCCUCCCGCGCCAGGCACCAGUGGUACGCCCGCACCGUCGACAGACGGUGCAGCGUGCCGGCGGCGCGGCCGCGCGCCUCCCAGGUGUGACCCUCGUUCAGCAGGUCGAUGAUGGCGUUAACCCCCGACCCGUUCUCCUGCUCCAUGAUCCUGGCCUUGUUGGUCCCCAGGGCGGCCAUGGCGUGCACGGCGGAGAUGGCGCAGGCGCGGAGGGCCGGGUCGUCGGCGACCAGGAGGCGGAGGAGGACGGGGACCAGCCCGGCCUCGCCCAUCUGUGCGGCCAGCUUCGCGUCGGACCGCAGCCGCGGCGUGAGCCUGGA
rnacentral:lncRNA from 1 species